GAGUUUGAUCUUGGCUCAGAUUGAACGCUGGCGGCAUGCCUUACACAUGCAAGUCGAACGGCAGCAUGAUCUAGCCUGCUAGAUUGAUGGCGAGUGGCGAACGGGUGAGUAAUACAUCGGAACGUGCCCUGUAGUGGGGAGUAACUAGUCGAAAGAUUAGCUAAUACCGCAUACGACCUGAGGGUGAAAGUAGGGGGACCGGCAAGGCCUCAUGCUAUAGGAGCGGCCGAUGUCUGAUUAGCUAGUUGGUGGGGUAAAGGCCCACCAAGGCGACGAUCAGUAGCUGGUCUGAGAGGACGAUCAGCCACACUGGGACUGAGACACGGCCCA
rnacentral:rRNA from 1 species